CUCAGUCUCAGAACUCUUCCUCCUGAAACCCUUCCUUCUGCACCAGCUCAGAAAGCUUCUACUGAUCUGACUUGGCCCCACAGAGUUCUUGUAUCUCUUCUCUGGAUCCUCUGCACUUUACCAACAUGCUUCUUGAAUUGUGGACACCGGACCUGGACACAAUAUUCCAAGGAGCAGUCACAUGAGUGCCAAACAUAGAGGAUACCAGGAACACUGCUGGAUAGGGAACCAGGAUCACAGGAACCGAACCCUCACAGGGCCAGGAACACGGGAACUGCCAAGAGGAGCCACCAGCCAGGAGCCACCAAUGGGAAUGGAGAGCUUUAG